GUUGAUGACCAACCUGGGCUACUUAGUGAGACUGUCUCAAAAAUGAUUAAUUUAAUUAAAAAUUUAAGCACUCAGUAAAUAUUCCAUGAAAAAGUUCUUGAAAUUCCUUGGAAAAUGAAAAGGUGGGUGAAUAUGUACAUAUGCACAUGCUUGUAUUGAAACAAUUCCAAGAAUAUCAGUGGUCAGCCCUGACUCAAAUGAGACUGCCAGAAUAGACAGAAAACAGUCCAUGAGCAAAUCCUUUAGCAACCUAGCAACACACACACACACAUUUCUUAUGUUUUCAAAGAAGUAUCACACAUGGAUCCACAUAGAUAAGCUUUUUUAAAUAAAUGUACUAGUGGAUAAAGUUGAGGGCAUGAUCUUAAGGUUUAGUUUAGGCAUUAAUAAGACAUUUCUCUGAGCAGCCUGAUCUGAGUACUUGGUUCUGUGUGGUCUUGACUUUUACCUUGUACCACUGUAUUCACUCUGAGCCACAUUUCACAGCCAGGGGAAAUCCCUGAAAGAGCUUGGUUACCAAGAAUUUCUGCAGGGCUCUGAUGUACUUUAUUGAACAUCUCUCCAGGUGGGAUGUUCAUGCGCUUCAUUUGUAGCUUCUAUAUGAUACCUUUAUAAAAUUUUUAUUGUAUUAUUUGUGUGUGUGUAUGUGUGUGUCCGUGUCCAUGUGGAUGCAUGCCACAGCACACAUAGAAGCUCAGAGGACAACUUGCAGGAGGUGGUUAUCUCUUAAGUUCAGGGAUCAGCUCAAGUCAUCAGGUUUUCAGACAAGUGCAUUUCCCUGCUAAGUGGACUCACCUUUUGACCUUAAUCUUACAUUAUUUUUUGUGCACAUGUCUGAUCUCCUAUGAACUUUGGUUGUUGGUAAGUAUGGUAUAUUAUAUGUAGUUAGAGUCAUUAAAUAUAUGUUAAAACAACAAACAUACUUCAUUACUCAAUUCUUGAGGUAAUACUUACAAAUUUUAGGCACAUUUUUAUAAUAAUAAGCACAAUGAUACCUUGUUUUAGUCUGAAAUUAUUUCAGGUGAUUUAACCUAUUCUAGCAUUCAUCUGUUUGUCUUCUGUCUUUGAUGUCAAUUGAAAACCUAUUUGCGAAUAAAGCUUAAAGACUUAAAAACCUCACAAUAAACAUUCACCUGCCAAUGCUCACUAGGUGUAUAUGCUUAUGUGAGUAUCGUUCCUAAUCCUCGAUGGUACCUCCAUCUGAAAUGGUAUUCGCCAUCCAUUUAGUCAGUUGAAUAGGUGGACUGGUAGUUUGCUUCUGUGUACAGAUCUCGUUCCUCUCCUGUCUUCACUGCAGGUGUCUCUUCUCACCAUUCCUGAGAACUACUUACUUGAAGGAAAGUAAUAGUUUAUUGCUCUUGGCAAAUGAGGCUUUUCCACAUUGGCCCUUAUCUGAAGUCUCUACUUCAGAUGUGCACUAGCAUAAUUCCAGUGAGCCAUAGACCUCUUACUCUGACAUAGCUGCAUUAACUCUUUUGUUAUACAGAGUACAUCUGCUACAUACUCAUCUGUAAUUGUUACAGUUAUUAACUGUGUCUCUUAACCAUAAACAAUAUCAGUUUGUAUAUACUAAUAUCAUAUUAACCUUAGUUUCUGAUUUUUUUUCUUUCCUAUGAAUUCAAUUUACUGUCUUGUGUGACUUUUUCAAUCUAAUACAUCUUGUCCUACUCUUCUUAGUGUUGUGAUGUGCUGAUAUGUUAAGUUCUGUAUAUUAUAGGAUCAGUUGAAUAUAAAAUAUACAAAAUUAUCUCCACAGGUGUUUGUUUGAAUCUGGUUCCCAGCUGCUGGGAGACUAUAACAUUUAAGAAAUGCUUGGCCACGCAGUGGUGGCACAGCCUUUAAUCCCAACACUCGGGAGGCAGAAGCACGAGGACCUCUGAAUUUCAGAGCCAGCCUGGGCUACAGAGUGAGUUCCAGGACAGCCAGGGAUAUACAGAGAAAUUUUGUCUCAGAACUCUAACCCCAAAUUCUGAAAGAAAGAAAGAAAGAGAGAGAGAGA
rnacentral:lncRNA from 1 species